AAUGCUUCUCUCGUCGAUCUGCCGACCAGCCCGGCCCUAUCGUCUUCCCAUUUCUCUUCCUUCCAGUCCAGAUCGAAACAACUUGUUCUCGCAUCUUGUUUUCACUAUCUAUUUCUCUCAUUAUUUUUUACUUUCCUAGUUUUGAUUUAUUUGUCAAAAUCCCUAAUUCUACUCAAUUCAUUUCCUCUUACUUUCGAUUGUAAUUGUUCUUGUUGGGUAAAGUAUGGGUUUUAUGAUUCCCAUAUAUUUUAGAGCCCAAUUUCUUAUGGAGUUAUGUGAAAAUUGCUUAUGGGGCUUCUAAUAUGAUGACUGUGAGAAAUCGGUUCUUCUCAUAAGGUUGAUUUAUCCUUUCUACAAGAGUCAUUUUGUUGAAUAAUUUUGGUUAGUAAAAUUUAUAUACAUAUGACACGUAUUUUAUCAUUUGCGGCAUAUUUUAUUUUACGGAAAAAAUAUGAAUUUGAUCUUCCCUCUUGUCUUAUGUAGCUACUUUGCCGAAAUUAUAAGCAAAUUGCACAGAUUCAAAAUAGAGAAAUAUUUUCGGUGAGUACUCUUCUUAAUGACUUGGGGACUAGUUCACUAACUGCAAGUGUAGGAGAACUUGUAUUAUUUUUAUUUUUAUUUUUAUUUUUAUGUUUAUUUUCAUUAUGUGUUCAUCUUAAUAUUGAUAGUUUUGGCAUGUUAUUCCAAUGAUUUUAAUAUUAUUGAUUCAUUACCUAAAAAUAGGUGUGACUUUCCAUGGCUUUAGAAGCAUUUAUUGAUUGGGUACUGAUAACCGUUGAAGUUCGGUUCCGAUUUGUGACUCAUGGUGUGGCCUUUUAUUAGGCCUCUUAUUUAUGAAUGUAACCUCUUAAUGUGAGUGGCUGUAAGUUCUUCAUAAUUUAUUUUGUAAGUUUUUACUCAAAUGUGCAGUAUAUGUAGUUAUUGCUUGUAUAUCUAGUCUAUAACAGCUUAUUCAACGAUUUAUGGUCUUCGUUGCAGGGCAUAAUGUCGUUGCAGUAGUCAUCUUUGCUACUCUAGUGAAUUUCAAUCACCCUCAGCUUCAUGGUUGGCUUGAGGAAUCCGGCCAACUGAUAGUGUAUCGCUUGGAAAUUCAUAAUUUUCAAACUUUAUUAUCGGUUGAAAGUGAGGUAAACUAAUUACAAACACAUAUUUCCAAAUCACUUGAUGUUAUACUUGUUGAUAAAAGUCUAUACACAUGUAAUUAUAUAGUACAUUUCGAAGUGCCAAAAUGUGUGUUAUUCGAUAUGGGAAAUCGUAUGCAUUUUCUAUCUGAUGCGAACAUCAUAUAUUGCGAAUGCUGAAGUGCACUAAUCCAUACGAGUUGUUUCAAUUAUUUAGUCUAUGUUGAAAUGUACUUAAUCAGUACCUUGCAAAGCUUUUAAUAUUGUAUUUCUAUGUCAUCUUUUCCAGAAAAACUUGGAACCUUCGGAGUUCAGCGUAAGUGCUUGCCGACUUGAAGACAUGAGAAUAUUGUAGAUCUUUAAAUUAUAAGUUUUUCUUCAUUUAAAUAAUGAUAAGUGCAUUGUAGACCAUAUUUUUUAUUCAGACACUAUUUCUUUUCUUUUUGUUCUACAAGAAUAUUGAAAGAUAGUGUUAACCUUUUUAUGUUCAUGUAUUA
rnacentral:lncRNA from 1 species